UCGAGAAUAAUUCACAAUGGGGGAAACCCUGAUGGUGCAACGCCGCGUGGAGGAUGAAGGCCCUAGGGUCGUAAACUCCUGUCAUUUGAGAGUAAGACCUGGUCGUUAAUAGCGGACAGGGUUGAUAGUAUCAAAAGAGGAAGGGACGGCUAACUUCGUGCCAGCAGCCGCGGUAAUACGAAGGUCCCGAGCGUUGUUCGGAAUCACUGGGCGUAAAGGGAGCGUAGGCGGUUAGGUAAGUCAGAUGUGAAAUCCCGGGGCUCAACCUCGGAACUGCAUCCGAUACUGCCUGACUAGAGUAAUGGAGGGGUAACUGGAAUUCUCGGUGUAGCAGUGAAAUGCGUAGAGAUCGAGAGGAACACUCGUGGCGAAGGCGAGUUACUGGACAUUUACUGACGCUGAGGCUCGAAGGCCAGGGUAGCGAAAGGG
rnacentral:rRNA from 1 species